rnacentral:rRNA from 1 species
AGAGUUUGAUCCUGGCUCAGGACGAACGCUGGCGGCGUGCUUAACACAUGCAAGUCGAACGGUGACGCUGGAGCUUGCUCCAGCUGAUCAGUGGCGAACGGGUGAGUAACACGUGAGCAACCUGCCCUUGACUCUGGGAUAACCCCGGGAAACCGGAGCUAAUACCGGAUACGAACCGCAUAGGCAUCUGAGCGGUUGGAAAGAUUUAUCGGUCAAGGAUGGGCUCGCGGCCUAUCAGCUUGUUGGUGGGGUAACGGCCCACCAAGGCGACGACGGGUAGCCGGCCUGAGAGGGCGACCGGCCACACUGGGACUGAGACACGGCCCAGACUCCUACGGGAGGCAGCAGUGGGGAAUAUUGCACAAUGGGCGCAAGCCUGAUGCAGCGACGCCGCGUGAGGGAUGAAGGCCUUCGGGUUGUAAACCUCUUUCAGCAGGGAAGAAGCGAAAGUGACGGUACCUGCAGAAGAAGCACCGGCUAACUACGUGCCAGCAGCCGCGGUAAUACGUAGGGUGCAAGCGUUGUCCGGAAUUAUUGGGCGUAAAGAGCUCGUAGGCGGUUUGUCGCGUCUGCUGUGAAAACCUAGGGCUUAACCCUGGGCCUGCAGUGGGUACGGGCAGACUAGAGUGCGGUAGGGGAGACUGGAAUUCCUGGUGUAGCGGUGAAAUGCGCAGAUAUCAGGAGGAACACCGGUGGCGAAGGCGGGUCUCUGGGCCGUAACUGACGCUGAGGAGCGAAAGCAUGGGUAGCGAACAGGAUUAGAUACCCUAGUAGUCC